rfam:Citrus sinensis cultivar Ridge Pineapple sweet orange scaffold01101_contig_4, whole genome shotgun sequence.
AUGCCAUGAUGAGGACACAUUCUGAGCAGUUAUUUGAAUCUUUCCAAGGCCUCACACAAACUCUCAUCUUCAAGUUGAUGGAAAGAAGUAAUCUCAUUCCGUAAUUUU